GCGUUCUUGGUGUAGCGGUAGCAUUCCGUCCUUCCAAGUCGGCGGCACGAGUUCGAUCCUCGUAGAACGCUCC
rnacentral:tRNA from 2 species